rnacentral:ribozyme from 1 species
GAUGGUAUGAAUUUCUAAACAGGCUAUCAGUCAGACAUACGUUUGUCUCUUUGUGUGAAACGAGGCGUGUACCGUCAUUGUAAAAGUAGUUGGUAUAUCCU